AUUGAACGCUGGCGGAAUGCUUUACACAUGCAAGUCGAACGGUAGAGGGGGCAACCCCUUGAGAGUGGCGAACGGGUGAGUAAUAUAUCGGAACGUGCCCAGUCGUGGGGGAUAACGUAGCGAAAGUUACGCUAAUACCGCAUACGAUCUAUGGAUGAAAGCGGGGGACCGUAAGGCCUCGCGCGAUUGGAGCGGCCGAUGUCAGAUUAGCUAGUUGGUGGGGUAAAGGCCCACCAAGGCGACGAUCUGUAGCUGGUCUGAGAGGACGACCAGCCACACUGGAACUGAGACACGGCCCAGACUCCUACGGGAGGCAGCAGUGGGGAAUAUUGGACAAUGGGCGAAAGCCUGAUCCAGCAAUGCCGCGUGAGUGAUGAAGGCCUUAGGGUUGUAAAGCUCUUUUACCCGAGAUGAUAAUGACAGUAUCGGGAGAAUAAGCUCCGGCUAACUCCGUG
rnacentral:rRNA from 1 species